rnacentral:misc_RNA from 1 species
GGAAAGUUGUAUCAUAUAUCCUAAAUGAAAAAAAUUUGCAAUAGAUGACCUUGUACUCAAUGGGUAAUUAAAAAAAUUUAAUAACUUCAAUUUCCCUAUUCAAAACGUACAGUAAUCUACUCCAAAAUUUUCAGUAAACGCCAGUGGCAUAUUUUCUAAAGCAAGUGACUGCACAGGAAACUUAUCCCUCCCUUUAUAGGGAAGUAACGUAUCAAGCAAGAGAGGACGUGUU